rnacentral:lncRNA from 1 species
CUCAUGUCUAAAGGCAAUUUUCCAUUGCAGUCGCUUUGCCCGCGCGGGCGGAGCGAACAUUACUCAACUUUCUCUGUAGUUGCCUAACCUGUGCAUUUUUUGUCCGCCUGAAUGCUCGCGGACACGCCAUGAAAGUAGAACUACAUUCAACUUUCUUGGCGUGCCCGGGCGACUGAUUUUUCACGUGAUUAAAAUUGGUCGCUCCGCCCGCGCGGGCAAAGCGACUGCAAUGGAAAAUGGCCUUAAAGACC